rnacentral:rRNA from 1 species
GGUUAAGCGACUAAGCGUACACGGUGGAUGCCCUGGCAGUCAGAGGCGAUGAAGGACGUGCUAAUCUGCGAAAAGCGUCGGUAAGGUGAUAUGAACCGUUAUAACCGGCGAUGUCCGAAUGGGGAAACCCAGUGCAAUUCGUUGCACUAUCGUUAACUGAAUACAUAGGUUAACGAGGCGAACCGGGGGAACUGAAACAUCUAAGUACCCCGAGGAAAAGAAAUCAACCGAGAUUCCCCCAGUAGCGGCGAGCGAACGGGGAGCAGCCCAGAGUCUGAAUCAGCUUGUGUGUUAGUGGAACGGUCUGGAAAGUCCGACGGUACAGGGUGAUAGUCCCGUACACCAAAAUGCACAGGCUGUGAACUCGAAGAGUAGGGCGGGACACGUGGUAUCCUGUCUGAAUAUGGGGGGACCAUCCUCCAAGGCUAAAUACUCCUGACUGACCGAUAGUGAACCAGUACCGUGAGGGAAAGGCGAAAAGAACCCCGGCGAGGGGAGUGAAAAAGAACCUGAAACCGUGUACGUACAAGCAGUGGGAGCACCUUCGGGUGUGACUGCGUACCUUUUGUAUAAUGAGUCAGCGACUUAUAUUCUGUAGCAAGGUUAACCGUAUAGGGGAGCCGCAGGGAAACCGAGUCUUAACUGGGCGUUAAGUUGCAGGGUAUAGACCCGAAACCCGGUGAUCUAGCCAUGGGCAGGUUGAAGGUUGGGUAACACUAACUGGAGGACCGAACCGACUAAUGUUGAAAAAUUAGCGGAUGACUUGUGGCUGGGGGUGAAAGGCCAAUCAAACCGGGAGAUAGCUGGUUCUCCCCGAAAGCUAUUUAGGUAGCGCCUCGUGAACUCAUCUUCGGGGGUAGAGCACUGUUUCGGCUAGGGGGUCAUCCCGACUUACCAACCCGAUGCAAACUACGAAUACCGAAGAAUGUUAUCACGGGAGACACACGGCGGGUGCUAACGUCCGUCGUGAAGAGGGAAACAACCCAGACCGCCAGCUAAGGUCCCAAAGUCAUGGUUAAGUGGGAAACGAUGUGGGAAGGCACAGACAGCCAGGAUGUUGGCUUAGAAGCAGCCAUCAUUUAAAGAAAGCGUAAUAGCUCACUGGUCGAGUCGGCCUGCGCGGAAGAUGUAACGGGGCUAAACCAUGCACCGAAGCUGCGGCAGCGACACUAUGUGUUGUUGGGUAGGGGAGCGUUCUGUAAGCCUGCGAAGGUGUGCUGUGAGGCAUGCUGGAGGUAUCAGAAGUGCGAAUGCUGACAUAAGUAACGAUAAAGCGGGUGAAAAGCCCGCUCGCCGGAAGACCAAGGGUUCCUGUCCAACGUUAAUCGGGGCAGGGUGAGUCGACCCCUAAGGCGAGGCCGAAAGGCGUAGUCGAUGGGAAACAGGUUAAUAUUCCUGUACUUGGUGUUACUGCGAAGGGGGGACGGAGAAGGCUAUGUUAGCCGGGCGACGGUUGUCCCGGUUUAAGCAUGUAGGCUGGUUAUCCAGGCAAAUCCGGAUAAUCAAGGCUGAGGUGUGAUGACGAGGCACUACGGUGCUGAAGUAACAAAUGCCCUGCUUCCAGGAAAAGCCUCUAAGCAUCAGGUAACAUCAAAUCGUACCCCAAACCGACACAGGUGGUCAGGUAGAGAAUACCAAGGCGCUUGAGAGAACUCGGGUGAAGGAACUAGGCAAAAUGGUGCCGUAACUUCGGGAGAAGGCACGCUGGUGUGUAGGUGAAGUCCCUGCGGAUGGAGCUGAGACCAGUCGAAGAUACCAGCUGGCUGCAACUGUUUAUUAAAAACACAGCACUGUGCAAACACGAAAGUGGACGUAUACGGUGUGACGCCUGCCCGGUGCCGGAAGGUUAAUUGAUGGGGUUAUCCGUAAGGAGAAGCUCUUGAUCGAAGCCCCGGUAAACGGCGGCCGUAACUAUAACGGUCCUAAGGUAGCGAAAUUCCUUGUCGGGUAAGUUCCGACCUGCACGAAUGGCGUAAUGAUGGCCAGGCUGUCUCCACCCGAGACUCAGUGAAAUUGAACUCGCUGUGAAGAUGCAGUGUACCCGCGGCAAGACGGAAAGACCCCGUGAACCUUUACUAUAGCUUGACACUGAACAUUGAGCCUUGAUGUGUAGGAUAGGUGGGAGGCUUUGAAGCGUGGACGCCAGUCUGCGUGGAGCCAACCUUGAAAUACCACCCUUUAAUGUUUGAUGUUCUAACGUUGGCCCCUGACCGGGGUUGCGGACAGUGUCUGGUGGGUAGUUUGACUGGGGCGGUCUCCUCCCAAAGCGUAACGGAGGAGCACGAAGGUUAGCUAAUCCUGGUCGGACAUCAGGAGGUUAGUGCAAUGGCAUAAGCUAGCUUGACUGCGAGCGUGACGGCGCGAGCAGGUGCGAAAGCAGGUCAUAGUGAUCCGGUGGUUCUGAAUGGAAGGGCCAUCGCUCAACGGAUAAAAGGUACUCCGGGGAUAACAGGCUGAUACCGCCCAAGAGUUCAUAUCGACGGCGGUGUUUGGCACCUCGAUGUCGGCUCAUCACAUCCUGGGGCUGAAGUAGGUCCCAAGGGUAUGGCUGUUCGCCAUUUAAAGUGGUACGCGAGCUGGGUUUAGAACGUCGUGAGACAGUUCGGUCCCUAUCUGCCGUGGGCGCUGGAGAAUUGAGGGGGGCUGCUCCUAGUACGAGAGGACCGGAGUGGACGCAUCACUGGUGUUCGGGUUGUCAUGCCAAUGGCACUGCCCGGUAGCUAAAUGCGGAAGAGAUAAGUGCUGAAAGCAUCUAAGCACGAAACUUGCCCCGAGAUGAGUUCUCCCUGAGACUAUAAGUCUCCUGAAGGAACGUUAAAGACGAUGACGUUGAUAGGCCGGGUGUGUAAGCGCAGCGAUGCGUUGAGCUAACCGGUACUAAUGAACCGUGAGGCUUAACCUU